rnacentral:rRNA from 1 species
UACGGAGGGGACUAGCGUUGUUCGGAAUUACUGGGCGUAAAGCGCACGUAGGCGGAUUUGUAAGUCAGGGGUGAAAUCCCGGGGCUCAACCUCGGAACUGCCUUUGAUACUGCAAAUCUCGAGUCCGGGAGAGGUGAGUGGAACUGCGAGUGUAGAGGUGAAAUUCGUAGAUAUUCGCAAGAACACCAGUGGCGAAGGCGACUCGCUGGACAGACAUUGACGCUGAGGUGCGAAAGCGUGGGGAGCAAACAGG